GAGGAGGUCGCGGAAACAAGGCCUUUAGGGCCCGGGCAGGGACGGCCACGGGAGGCCCGUAAGUUUUGAGAAACUCGUCCCAUUCGCCAGAAACCAGUAAGCCGAGACAACGUUUCCGGGUGAGAAGGACCGCAAACCGCAGGCGGGCUCAGAAAGAUGACGCGAGCGGCGCGCGAAGACACACAUCCGCCCCGCCCGAUGCAUUGUGGGGCUUCAAGUCACCAAUUGGACAGCAGUCUCGCGAGCAAGCGAGAUUCACGCGAAAGUCGGGGAUCUAGAGGAGAGGUUCCCGUCCCCGUGGCAGGGAUGGGCCAAUCCCAGGGCGUCCGGUCCCCCCGGGGCGCGCCGACGCCGGGGCACGUGCCCGCAGCGGCCGCGACCCGGGUAAAGGGCUUAAGAGGGGUCUGGAGUCAAGACGGGCUUCCGGCCGGCGAAGCUCGCAGGCUGCCGGGGAGUCCCGCGUCCGCACGCCGCCGCCGUGGGCAAGUCCCAACCCUGACUGAACAAGGAGCCCGCUGGAAACGCGGUCCGGCCUUCAGUGCCCUCACCUGUGAGACGGGCCCAGGGCUGCCCCGAGGCCAGGGGAGUUGGGUAUGUUUCUUCUGCGUCAGGAGCCCGGCCAGAAUACUGCAUCACGUGAUUGUCCACCUGACUUUUUCAUUGUGAAGGUAUGAGUGCGUGCAUGCUAAGUCAUCUCAGUUGUGUCCAACUCUGUGCGACCCUGUGGACUGCAACCCGCCAGGCUCCUCUGACCGUGGGAUUCUCCAGGUGAGAACACGAGUGGGUUGCUGUGCGCUCCUCCAGGGGAUCUUCCUGACCCAGGGAUCGAAACUGUGUCUCCUAUGUCUACGUGCGUGGGCAGGUGGAUUCUUUACCACUAGCGCCACCUGGGAAGUCCCCGUUUUGUGUAUAUUUUACCACAUUUUUUUUUAAGCUGAAGAAAUAAAUACGCAAUUUAAACAAGAUACCUGGUCUUAGCUUUUCAAUAAGGGAAACCUAUGUGUAUAUACUUCAAAACUAAACAGAACUGUGCCCAGAAGGCCCUACAUUCCUCCCAGACCUGGGAUCAGGGCUCAGUGCAGACUGGGCUCCAGCAGUGCCAUCACGGACUGUUACUAAUAACAGUAGCAUUAACAAGAGCUGCUGUGAGUGAUCUCUCACUGUUCUGGCAGCGUUACCACCUUAUCUCACGUAUUCCUUACAGAGCUGCCGGAGCAGUUACGUUCGUUAGCUUCAUGUAAAGAAGGGGAAGAUGGCACAGAGAAUUUAGGGGACUCACCCAAGGUCACACAGCUGGUAGUGGCAGCACCAGGAUCCUAUCAGAGCCAGAACUUGCUCACCCCCACUGCCACGCCAGCCUCACAUUCCAAACCCCUCCAAAG
ensembl:lncRNA